rnacentral:rRNA from 1 species
UACGGAGGGAGCUAGCGUUGUUCGGAAUUACUGGGCGUAAAGCGCACGUAGGCGGCUUUGUAAGUCAGGGGUGAAAUCCCGGGGCUCAACCUCGGAACUGCCUUUGAUACUGCAAAUCUCGAGUCCGGAAGAGGUGAGUGGAAUUCCUAGUGUAGAGGUGAAAUUCGUAGAUAUUAGGAAGAACACCAGUGGCGAAGGCGGCUCACUGGUCCGGUACUGACGCUGAGGUGCGAAAGCGUGGGGAGCAAACAGG